ensembl:lncRNA
GACUCUCCUCAAGCCUAGAAAAUGGGUGCUGCUUGAAAUCUAUUGUCUGCUGAGAAUGCGGAAAACCAAGCCUUGAGUGUUGGUAAAUUUCUGAGUGAGGAAAUUCUCUUGUCUAUGAGAACUAUGACCUUCCAGCUUAGAUGUAUUGAUAUUUCUCACAUACUUUGGCAUCAUGUCUCAGACUCCUGUGGCCUGCUACCAUAUUAUCUAAUGUGCUGAUUCCUAGACAUUCUCAUUGAAGAUCACAAUCUGUAUGAUUUCAGUACCUUUAGACCAUGAAACUUUUGCACCUGGUUUUAUGUCCCUGGAUAUGUUCCAGUGUCUCCUGGUUUAUAGUCUAUGGGAACUUGAAUAAAAUUUGUAUCCUGCUAUUGUGUGAAAACUGCAUAAAUCUUAAUUAUGUUGAAUUGGU